rnacentral:rRNA from 1 species
UACAGGUAGGGCAAGCGUUAUUCGGAAUGACUGGGCGUAAAGGAUACGUAGGCGGUGUUUGAAGUUGAAAAUGAAAUUCGAGAGCUUGACUCUUGACCUUUUUUCAAAACCAAAACACUUGAGUAUGAAAGAAGAAGGUAGAAUUUCUCGUGGAAGAGUGAAAUCUGUAGAGAUGAGAAGGAAUACCAAAAGCGAAGGCAGCCUUCUAGUUCAUCACUGACGCUGAGGUAUGAAGGUAUGGGGAGCGAGCGGG